UCUGUCUUGUCUGUUGAAUUUAUUAAUAAUAUAUGUAAAACCAGUGUUUAAGUUCACCUUGGAAUUCAACAGUGAGGUGCACUUCCUCCUUUAGACAGCAGGAGGCAGCAUUGCCUAGUUUACAGUAAUGUCCAUGAUAGCAGGGCACAACAAGGAGUUCCUUUCAAGUAGACUUUAAGCUAGUUCAGUGACGAUCGCAAACGUUUUCAUCUGCUCGAAUCUCAUGCCAAACAAAGUAUCAUCGGUAUGUAUUGUUGAGUAGUAUGCUAAUAUUUGAUUGAGUUGUAUUAUUUGUUGGUUGUGAUGUAAUUUGGGACGUUUUAUGGCCAAAAGUCAGUCCUGCUAAUUUUCGGAAUUCAUACAGUGAAGUGAAUGUUAGCAUAGUAAGCUAGUUUGCUAUAAAGCACUUAUAUUACCAAUUUUGUGGCAUUUAUUUGUCCAUUUAAGUUCAAUACACAGCAUAAUGCACGUUUUAUCGUAAUGGGAUUGUGUGUGUGUAAUAAGGCUGUGUGUGCAUGUCUGUAAUGUAAGCAUCCUUUCUGCUUGUAUGCUUUCAGUUUACCCUUUUUAGGGUCAAUAAACCUGUGGACAAGAAGACGUUUUUCAGAGUGUUUGAUCAAGAAAAGGUGUUAGGGUAAAGCCAAGAUAUUUCUACAUAUCGAGGGCGGCACAGUAAACGAUGUCUUUAACGCAGAAGAUAAGACAGCAUACACAAGAACAAACAAUGGAUUGCACAGAAAGCUCAUUACGGACAAAAUCUACCACUUCACGUGCUUCAACGAGGUCAAAAGCUUCCUCCACCGAGGCUGCAGCUACCAAAGCACGCGCAAAAGCAGAGGCAGCCAAAGUACGUCUGUCUUUUGCACAAAAAGAAAUGACACUCAAAGUGGAAAAAGCACAACUGGACGUGGAAAAAGCACAACUAGAAGCUAAGAUGGACAUGCUCUUACUGGAGCAGGACGCAGCAGCUGCACUCGCCAAAGCGGAGGUCUUGGAAGCCGCUGUGGAAGGAAGUGAUCGAAGCAGCUCCUAUCUUCACAUCAAGCAGUUGUUUGAACAUUCAGUUGACACAUUAGAGCGCACAAAGGAAUACAUAGCCACUCAGGCCCAAGAGCCAAGUCAAAUAAAAGUUGAAUCACCACACCAACAGCCAUCGUCAUGGAAUGAAACACAACAUUAUAAACCACCAGAUGUGAACUCCAUUCAACACUCACAUCUCCAGACAGAGCACAAUAAACACAGAGUUGGGUUUGUUUCUACCCUACAACAAAUGACGACACCUUCACAGCCAGAAGUCACAUCAGUCAUCAGUCCAUCUUCAAACAACAUACGAGACAAUCACCAAGAUUACAAGUCAAGCUACAGUUCUCCUUUGCAUUCAAAGUCCAGCCGUACACCUUGUCAGCCUGUCUACGAUCAAGGGAAUGUGGCAGACUUCGCAAGAUAUCUAGCUCACCGUGAGCUAGUCACAACGAGUCUGAUAAAGUUCAGCGACCAGCCAUGCAGUUACAGGGCAUGGAAACAGUCCUUUGUGAACUCAGUCAGAGGCCUCAACAUAACGUCCAGUGAAGAAAUGGAUUUGUUGGUCACGUGGCUAGGGAAGGAGUCAGCUGAGCAUGCAAAACGCAUCAGGGCUGUCCAUGUCAACUCUCCUGACAAAGGCCUAAAAAGGAUAUGGGACAGACUGGAAACCUGUUACGGCGCACCCGAAAUGGUGGAGGAUUCACUCUUUAAACGGAUCCACAGCUUCCCUAAAAUCAUCAACAGAGACUAUUCAAAGCUCCAUGAGUUGAGUGAUUUUCUCAUAGAAUUGGAGGCAGCCAAGGAAGAUGGAGACCUGCCUGGCCUUGCAUAUUUGGACACAGCGCGUGGGAUAAACCCAUUAGUUCAAAAGUUACCAUUCAACCUCCAAGAAAAGUGGCUCAACGUUGGCACAAACUACAAAUUACAACACAAUGUAACAUUUCCCCCCUUUUAUGUUUUUGUUGACUUCAUUGGAAAACAAGCUAUAAUUAGGAAUGACCCAGGCUUCAAGUUUGCAGGUCAAAUUGACACCUCAAAAGCAGACAGAGUCCAAUGGAAGCAGAUCCAAAAUAGAGAAGUCUCAGUUCAUAAGAUCGAUUUCCAGUCUACUGCCCCUCCUAUUAAUGACAAGCAAUACUUUGAAGCUGAUGAUCCUGAGAAACAAUGCCCUAUUCAUAAAAAACCUCACAUGCUCCAUAAAUGUCGUGCCUUCCGUGCAAUGCCGUUGGAACAACGCAAGGAAUUCCUGAAAGAAAAUGGCAUAUGUUUUAAGUGUUGCACAUCCACUCAACAUAUAGCAAAAAACUGUAAAUGUAUUACUAAGUGCACUGAGUGUGAGAGCGCAAAGCACAUUUCUGCACUUCAUCCUGGACCUGCCCCAUGGAUCCAGGUCCAAACCCCCCUGACACAGCUUGGCGGGGAGCAAGACUCAGGACCUUCAACUGAGGUCAGUGCUCGAUGUACAGAUGUAUGUGGUGGCGAUCAAAGCUACAAAUCCUGCUCAAAGAUCUGCCUUGUUAAAAUAUAUCCUAGCGGCCGUCCUGAGAAAUCCCUGAAAGUUUAUGCAAUCAUCGACGAGCAGAGUAACAAGUCCCUUGCUCGUUCAGAGUUCUUUGAGAUCUUCAACAUUCAAAGUCCUUCAUCUCCAUACACACUCCGAACCUGCUCUGGAGUGACGGAAACCACUGGGAGAAGAGCUUCAGGCUACAACAUUGAAUCCAUGGAUGGAAAAGUGUGCCUCACUUUACCAAGCCUCCUGGAAUGUGAUGAUCUACCUAACAACAGAUCAGAAAUCCCAACACCUAAUGCUGCAGCCAACCAUACUCACCUCAAAUCAGUUGCUAACCUCAUCCCAGAGCUGGAUCCUAACGCGUCCAUCAUGCUUCUCCUUGGGAGAGACAUCAUCUCUGUCCACAAAGUGCGCAAACAGGUUGAUGGGCCACGCGAUGGUCCCUAUGCUCAAAAACUUGACCUGGGAUGGGUGAUCGUUGGAAAUGUAUGCUUGGGAGGUGUUCACAAGCCGACCACAGUGAAUAACUUCAACACCAUUACAAUUGAACAAAGGCGUCCCACAGUCUUUACACCUUGUCCUAACGUGUUUCAAGUCAAGGAGAGACAUGGCCAGUUUCAAAACCCUGAAUACUCAAAGGUAACCUUCACAAAGAAAUGUAAGCAAAAUGACGUGGGCGCUACAGUGUUUCGGCAGACCAAAGAUGACAACAAAGUCGGUCCAUCCAUUGAUGACAUCGCCUUCCUGCAAAUCAUGGAGAGGGAUUUGAAAAAGGACAUAACCAACAGCUGGGUAGCUCCGCUGCCAUUUAAGACUCCAAGGCCCAAGCUUCCUGACAACAAAGUUCAAGCCUUGAAGCGUUUUUCCUCUUUGAGACGCAACUUCGAAAGAAAACCAGUGAUGAAAGAGCACUUUUUUAGCUUCAUGGAAAAGAUCUUUCAAAAUGAACAUGCUGAAAUAGCCCCUCCACUCACAUCUAAUGAAGAAAGAUGGUAUUUACCAGCCUUUGGUGUUUACCAUCCCAAGAAACCUGGGAACAUCCGUGUGGUGUUUGACUCCAGCGCCCAAUACAAUGGUGUGUCACUAAACGACGUGCUGUUAACUGGACCCGACCUCAACAACACCCUUAUAGGGGUACUCCUCAGGUUUCGCAAAGAAGCUGUAGCCAUAACAGCAGACAUUCAGCAGAUGUACCACUGUUUCUUAGUCAGAGAAGAAGACCGCAAUUAUCUCAGGUUUUUAUGGUUCAGAAACAACAACUCAUCUGAAGACAUCAUGGAAUACAGAAUGAGGGUCCAUGUCUUUGGAAAUUGUCCCUCUCCCGCAGUGGCCAUCUACUGUUUAAGACAGUCAGUGAAAAAUGCAGAGCCCAUUGUAAAGCAGUUUGUCAACCGUGACUUUUAUGUAGAUGACGGGCUAACGUCACUUCCCUCCGUCGAAGCUGCAGUGAAGCUGCUCAAGAGGACGCAAGAGGUUCUGUCAGACUCAAACUUGAGGCUUCACAAAAUCGCCUCAAAUAAAGGAGAAGUUAUGAACGCUUUCCCAUCUCAGGACCAUGCCAUCAACUUAAAGGACCUGGACUUCACUUCAGAUAUCUUGCCCAUGCAACGUAGUCUGGGACUUAACUGGGAUCUAAUGGCAGACACAUUUACCUUUCAAGUAGCUGAUGAGCAAAAGCCUUUCACCCGCAGAGGUGUCUUGUCAACUGUCAACAGCAUCUAUGAUCCCCUAGGAUUUCUUGCCCCUGUCACCAUACAAGGCAAACUGAUCCUGCGUGAGCUCAUGGAGAACAACGGAGAUUGGGAUGCACCUCUUCCUCAAGAAAUGGAAGAGACAUGGUCAACGUGGCGAUGCUCAUUGAAAGAUCUCAGCAAUCUCCACAUCCCAAGAGUUUACACACAGGCCUCUCCUACAGCGGUGUCAAAAAGAGAGAUAGUCAUCUUUUGUGACGCUUCCACAAAGGCAAUUGCAGCAGUUGCAUACUUAAAGAUAACAGAGAAAAAUGGAACCAACCACGUGGGCUUUCUCAUGGGAAAAGCCAAGCUUACGCCCUUGUCAGAACAAACUGUCCCUAGACUUGAGCUUUGUUCUGCAGUAUUAGCGGUGGAGCUUGCCGAGCUCAUCACCUCAGAGAUGGACAUGGAGGUUGACAUCACUUUCUACAGCGACAGCAAAAUCGUUCUUGGUUACAUCAGCAAUGAUACUAGACGUUUUUACGUGUAUGUAAGCAACCGAGUUCAACGGAUAAGAAGCUUUUCUCACCCUGAGCAAUGGAAACAUGUCUCCACUGAAGCAAACCCUGCAGACAUAGCCACAAGGUCUGUGUCAGCGAAACACCUGUCCAGUACCACCUGGCUUUGUGGACCAGCAUUCCUGAAGAACGCUCAGAAUGACCAGUUUCAAAAGGGCCCUUUUGAGUUGUCUGACCCCUCUUUGGAUACAGAGGUCCGCCCGCAUGUUUCAACAUUGAACACCACUGCAGUAAUCAAACACCUGGGUUCUCAACGCUUCUCCAAGUUCUCCAGUUGGAGAUCAUUGAUCCAUGCCAUUGCUCGUCUCACUCACAUUGCUCGCCUCUUUCAAAAGAAUCCUGCAGUAAAAGCUAACGGCUGCAAAGGCUGGCAUCAUUGUCACUCAGCAAAUGCUGUUGAGGAACUUGCACAUGCUAAGAAAACCAUCAUUCGUGCAGUUCAAGAAGACAUAUAUGCUCAAGAGUAUGCUUCCAUCAAAAAUGGUAAAGGGCUUUCCAAAGACAAUAAUCUCAAAGCCUUAGACCCUCUCAUUGAUGCCGAUGGUCUGCUAAGAAUUGGGGGUCGCAUAAAAGAAGCCAAACUCUCUUUGGAGGAGAAAUCGCCUCUCAUAAUCCCUGGCAAGCACCAUAUUUCCACGCUUCUGGUCAGGCACUACCAUCAGAAAAUACAACACCAGGGCAGAUUAUUCACUGAAGGUGCUUUAAGAGCUGCUGGAUUUUGGAUUGUUGGUGGUAAAAGACGAGUCAGCAGUGUGAUCUAUGGAUGUGUUAAAUGCCGCAAACUUCGCGCUUUGCCUCAGACUCAAAAGAUGGCUGAUCUUCCAGCUGAUCGCCUGUCCACUGAACCUCCAUUUACCAACGUUGGGCUGGACGUUUUUGGACCUUGGACAGUGUCUGCACGUCGUACACGAGGUGGCCUUGCACAAGACAAAAGGUGGGCCGUACUAUUCACCUGUAUGAGUGUCAGAGCCGUGCACAUAGAGGUCAUUGAAUCAUUAGACACGUCAUGUUUCAUCAAUGCCUUAAGGCGUUUCCUUGCUAUCAGGGGCCCAGUGAAAUUAAUUCGGUCCGAUAGAGGCACCAACUUCAUAAGUGCAUGCAAAGAGCUCAAGAUUCCAUCCAACAUUGAUAACACAUCUGUAGAAAAGUUUUUGUCCGAUCAAGAUUGCAGAUGGAUGUUCAACGUGCCUCACGCAUCUCACAUGGGUGGGCCAUGGGAGAGGAUGAUUGGUGUGGCAAGAAGGAUCCUUGACGCCAUGUUCCUGCAGCUUGGGACCUCAAAGCUGACCCACGAGGGUCUCUCCACACUUAUGGCAGAGGUGACUGCCAUCAUCAAUGCCAGACCUCUUGUACCAGUGUCCACCGACCCAGAUGACCCGCAAAUACUCUCACCAGCAACACUCCUCACACAAAAGGUCAGUCCUUCAACUGCUCCCGUAGGCGACUGGGUAAAAGAUCUCCACAAGCAACAGUGGCGUCAAAUCCAGCAUUUGGCUCAAACCUUUUGGAACAAAUGGAAGAAGCAAUACCUAUCCACACUUCAGCCACGGAGGAAGUGGCAUUCACCCCACCCUAACCUCCUGCCUGGAAGUGUAGUGCUCCUCAAAGAUGACCAACUGAAGAGAAACCAUUGGCCUUUAGGACUAAUUACACAAGUCUUCCCAAGCAAAGAUGGCAGAGUUCGCAAAGUGGAGAUAAAAGUCUCCAGAAAGGAUGGGACCAAAGUGUUCCUGCGGCCGGUCACAGAGACAAUCCUGCUUAUGGCACCAGAGAAGCCCUAAUCUCCUUUGGGACAGUUUGGUAGUGGCGGUUUAAUCCGCCAGGCGGGGAGUGUUCUGUCUUGUCUGUUGAAUUUAUUAAUAAUAUAUGUAAAACCAGUGUUUAAGUUCACCUUGGAAUUCAACAGUGAGGUGCACUUCCUCCUUUAGACAGCAGGAGGCAGCAUUGCCUAGUUUACAGUAAUGUCCAUGAUAGCAGGGCACAACAAGGAGUUCCUUUCAAGUAGACUUUAAGCUAGUUCAGUGACGAUCGCAAACGUUUUCAUCUGCUCGAAUCUCAUGCCAAACAAAGUAUCAUCGUUUACCCUUUUUAGGGUCAAUAAACCUGUGGACAAGAAGACGUUUUUCAGAGUGUUUGAUCAAGAAAAGGUGUUAGGGUAAAGCCAAGAUAUUAUUUGACCGUGCGUGACUGCUCGCCGUCUGUUCGCUGCUGCGAAAAAGCGAAAAAGCUAAGUAGCGCUCUAUCUGUGUGCUUUUAAUUGUUCUACAGCUUUCUUUAUCACUUCUCAAACAUUUUUAGUGGUACUAUUUAACUUGCAAAUCACCCGAUCUCUGUCCCACCCUUUCCUCAGCUAGCUAGCUGCUAAGCUAGCGCGGAGAAAGGCAGCGCCGGUCAGUAAGAAGCUACUCCUACAGACCGCGACCACUUCCCUGAGGACAGCAGGAACUUCACUCGGUGACAGAAAACACUGUGAGUAAUGGCUUCCUGCGCGUCUUGCACCAUACUCACGGAGAGGUUGGCUCUGCUAGAGGGCCGUGUCCGCCAGUUAGAGCAGAGUAAUGUCGUAACUUUAGAUGUUGCGGACACAUCUGCUAGCGUUAGCUGUAGCGAGCUAACUAGCCCAGCUUGUAGCAGUCCUAAGCGGCCUACAAGCUACGGUGUACCGGUUGAGACGCAUAAUAGAUUUAGCUCUUUAGCUAGUCCUACACCCCAGUCUACCGGGCACCACACCUUAGUUAUAGGGGACUCCAUCACCCGAAACAUAAAGCUUAGCAAACCAGCCACAAUAAAGUGUAUCCCCGGGGCCAGAGCACCUGACAUUGAAGCUAAUCUUAGGGAGCUAACUCGCAACAGGCCUAGUAAACACGUACGACAGGCUAAUCGCACCACUAAUUAUGCGAAUAUAGUUGUACACGUUGGCUCCAAUGACACUAGAAUGAGACAGUCAGAGAUUACAAAGAGAAACAUAGCCAGGACUUGUGAUCUCGCCAGAAAGAUGUCCAGGCAUCGAGUAAUUGUCUCUGGCCCCCUGCCUGCGAGAGGCAAUGAUGAGAGAUAUAGCAGAUUAGUCUCGCUUAACAAGUGGUUGGCUAGCUACUGUAGGCAGAAGGGACUAACGUUUAUUGAUAACUGGCCCUCUUUCUGGGGCAAACCAGGCUUGCUGAUGAGAGACGGCCUUCACCCUAACCAGGAAGGCGCCAUCAUCCUGUCUAGAAACAUAGACUACUAUUUAAGUCUCACUUGACUGACUACACUAGAGCAAGCCCGGUCACAGGCAACUACAAUGUCUGUUAGUCCGGGUGAGGAGUCAGUUAAGCUAGAACUAGCCAGCGCCAGGCUGGAUAAUCCAUGUACGCAUAGCAAUUCUCUUAGAAUAAUACACAAUUCACAUAAUGUUUUUUCUGUUGUGUCUGUGUCAGGGGUGGACAUGCAUUCUACUGAGGUGGCAAAUUAUGAUAUGUCCAGUCUAUUGCAGCACCAAACAAACAAUCGGAAAAUUCCCGUCAUAUCAAUUCCUAGAUAUGGUCGAAACUAUUUAAAGUGCACUACGCAUAAUAAACGCAACAUUGUUAAUAUUGCCACUACGGAUAAUCUUAACAAAAACUCGUCAAAACAGCCCAAUACCUAUAAUAUGGGCUUUUUAAACAUAAGAUCAUUGUCUCCCAAGGCGUUAUUGGUUAAUGAGGUCAUUAGAGACAACAAUCUUAACGUCAUUGGUCUUAGCGAAACCUGGCUCAAACCGGACGAAUUUUUUGCGCUCAAUGAGGCAUCUCCUCCUAACUAUACGAAUGCGCAUGUUGCCCGCCCUCUUAAAAGGGGAGGGGGUGUCGCACUAAUAUACAAUGAAAAUUUCAACCUUACCCCUAACCUAAAUAAUAAAUAUAAAUCGUUUGAGGUGCUUACUAUGAGGUCUGUCACACCGCUACCUCUCGACCUGGCUGUUAUCUACCGCCCCCCUGGGCCCUAUUCGGACUUUAUCAGUGAAUUCUCAGAGUUCGUUGCUGAUCUAGUGACGCACGCCGACAAUAUAAUCAUAAUGGGGGACUUUAAUAUCCAUAUGAAUACCCCAUCGGACCCUCAGUGCGUGGCGCUCCAAACCAUAAUUGAUAGCUGUGGUCUUACACAAAUAAUACAUGAACCCACGCAUCGCAACGGUAAUACAAUAGAUCUAGUGCUUGUCAGGGGUGUCACCACCUCCAAAGUUAUGAUACUUCCAUAUACUAAAGUAAUGUCCGAUCAUUACCUUAUAAAAUUUGAAGUUUUGACUCUUUGUCAACAAGCUAAUAAUAAUAAUAACUGCUAUAGCGGCCGCAACAUUAAUGCUGCCACAACGAUGACUCUUGCUGACCUACUGCCUUCGAUAAUAGCACCAUUCCCAAAUUAUGUCGGCUCUAUUGAUAAACUCACUAACAACUUUGACGAUGCCUUGCGCGAAAUUAUUGAUAGUAUAGCACCGCUAAAGCAAAAAAGGGCCCCUAAAAGGCGCACCCCAUGGUUUACAGAAGAAAUUAGAGCUCAGAAAUUAUCAUGUAGAAAACUGGAACGCAAAUGGCGCGCGACUAAAC